CUACAAAAACUAGGAAAACUUAUUGACUUGAGGAACCUAGGGUGAGAAAUGCAGCAGCGAAUGUCCAUUUUAUAACAUGAUAAAAGUUAACUUAAAGGCAUAAUAUCACCUUGUGACUUUUUGUCUGUUCAUCCCCACCCUAUUAAGUGACAUACAGAACAUUUUAAGGAAUUUUUUUUUGUUUAGUUAGACUUAGACAAAAAGUCAGUACCUGUGCGUGCCACCUUCUGUGAUGCUACAACAAGGGGUUCAGUAAAGUCUUCUGUUAGGAUUAUGUGCCAGUGGACAGUUAGGACAGGGUGUGCCAGUGCCACGCUGAUGCUGCCUGGCGCCUGCUGAACUAAUGCAAAGAAGAGAAGAUAACCACAAUCGCUUUCAGAUCCAGAAUGUGCUAGAAAGGAAGCCUCACCUAAUAGAAUGUCGCAUGUCAGGUCUACCUACGUUGGCUGCCUCCUGCCUGAAACAUACAAUUAAUUAGCUUGGAGAGCGGACACAAAGAUGUUAAGUGACUCCUCCUCUGGGCUUCAUCCCUUGCCUCCUAGUACAUUCAGUUUUUUUUUUUUUAUAAUUCUUUAUUUUAGUAUUUUUUUCAAAAUAAAGGGCUACAGAAAUAAAAAGGGAAAUAAAUGGGUAAAAUCACAUUUUAUACAGUAUCACUUUCACAUUAAGUUGCAGCUUAAACAUGUAUUUAGUUCCUCAGCCCUUAAUCAAGACAGUUAGUAUUAUUUAUUUAACUUUUCUUUAUAUUUGAUCCAUGGGGACCAUAUCUUCCAGAAUAUCUUGCUAUUGUUAUAGUAUAUAGAGGUUAGUUCCUCCAUCUCUCUUAUAUCUUUAACCGUUCUUAUCCAGUCAUUAAAUGUAGGGGCAUCUUUAUUCUUCCACUUUUUAGGUAUAAGAGACUUAGCUGCUUGAAUCAUGUGGAAGGUAAGAGUAUCUUCUAACAUUUUUGAGUUUUCUACAUAAACAUUGAGAAGAAUAACCGAAUAUUCCUCUAUCCUGAUUUUAAUAGAGGUUAUUUUAUAUAUAUCAUCUAGAACCUGGGUCCAGAAGUCUUUGAGGACUGGGCAUGAUAACCAUAUAUGGACGCGAAUGUCUUCGGAUUCAUUUUGUUAAGUUUAGCCGGUGUAUAGUGCCACCUAGUUAUCACUUUAUACAUUGCUUCUCUUAUGCUCAUAGUUUUUGUCAUCUUAUGCCCAUAUUUAAAUAUAUUUUUCCACGUCUCUUCUGGUAUAGGCUUACCCAGUUCUCCCUCCCAGGAAUUACAAAAUGCAUAGAUUUUAUUGCUAUCUCUAUUUAAUAUCAUAGUGUACAUUUUUGAUAAGGGUUUAAAGGAGAAGGAAAGCCAAAAAACGACUUAAGCUCUAAAUGUUGACAAUGUAUAGUAUUUAUAAUUACCAGCAAGCAUUCCCUCAUUAGUUUUUCCCUUAAUUAUUUUGCUGCAAUCGAUUUUUUAAAAAGUUUAGACAUGUAUGAAAAAGCAUACCCUUGUUUCUGUAAGAAAUCCAUCUGAAUAGGGCACACGCAUGCGCAAUAGCUUCCAGCAGUGCCCUGCACAUGCGCACAAGAGUCUUGUCUUCCUUGUUCAGCAAUGAUGAUGCGGUCACGUGACUCAGCCAUUCAUCAUCGCUGACCUCUCUGACCCCGCCUCAUUAAUUCAUGCUCCAAUAGCCGAUGCAGCUUCCCGUUGUCAGGAAACUAGGGGAAGCUUUGAAGCUCCUGCGCUCGCUCUGCUUUUAAUUUACAGUCUGUCAGUGAGCGAGCGCAGGAGCUAAGGAAAGGAGCUUAAAAAAAGGCAGCCAACAUUCGGGUCUUUCUGACUGAGGUCUGGUGUGGCUCCUUGUUAGCAGUCUGAAUGCGAGAAUGAUUACAUCAGGGGGGCCAUGAAGGAGGCGCAUGCGCAUGAAGAGAAGUGCCAAUUUGAAAAUGGCUGCACCAAACUGUUAUAAGGGGCAAAACGUCCAAACGCUUGGUGCACAGAAUCAGCACCGGUUUCAGAGUUUCUACUGUGGCGUUUCAGGAGGGGUCCUGAUGGAGAACAAAGAGAGGGUAGUUUAGUUUUUUGGCUUUCCUUCUCCUUUAACUAGCUCAUGAUCUUCCUCUAUUAUUUUUUCCCAAUGAGUUAGGGCUCUAUCCCAUUCCUUGUCUCUAUUUUUUUUUAUAAAAUAAUAUAGUUGGUAGUAGCCCCAUAGGUCCCUAGGGUAUUUCCCCCACCUCCUCUGGAUCACUUCCAGUGGAACCAGCUUCUUUCCUUUAAUUAAAUCCUGUAUUCUAGUUGAUCUUUCCUCCCACUUCUCCCAUCUUGAGAAUGCUCCCUUUUCCAACCCCGGCGGGAAAUUUGGAUUGAGACAUAAUGAUUGUAGCGCAUAGGGAGCACUAGUCAGAUGAAAUGCAAUUUUAUUCCUAUGCCAUAUUUUGAGAGUCGCCUUAAUUAAAGGAUGUUGAAGCAUUACCUCAUUCGAUAUCCAUUUAUCAUCCCAAAGUGAGUUUUCUAAAGGGUAAUUGGACCAUACCUGUUCUAGCUCGCACCAGUCUUUUUUACCUUUUCUCGUGGUCCAAUUCCAUAUUCUUACUAAAUGCACCGACAAAGUAUAGGUAUUGAUCUGGUAAUCCCAUCCCUCCUUCCUCUUUAGUUUCUGUUAAUAUCUUAUAACUCAGUCGCGCAUUCUUCCCACCCCAUAUGAAUCUAGAAAUCAUCGCUCUAAGCGAUUUGAAAAAACUGAGGUAAAUCGAUUGGUAAAACUUGAAAAAGGUAUAAUGCUUUGGGCAUCACUAUCAUUUUAAUAGCUUGGAUUCUUCCAAACCACGUGAUUUUAAUAUUUUUCCAUUUAUCAAUUAUCUUUUGUAGGGUUAUUAAAAGUGAAGCAUAAUUAUCGUGAUAUCUUUCAUGGUCCGCACUUAAAUUAACCCCUAAGUAUUUAAUAUUGAGGUUUGACCACUUAAAUGGGAAAUUAUUUUUCAUUUGUGUAGCUAUUUCUUUUUCAGUGUUGAUAUUCAGGAUCUCCGAUUUUGAAUAAUUAAUUCUGAAAUUCGAAGCUUCUCCAAAACGUUUAAACAAAUUAAGCACAUUUGGUAUUGUUACUAAUGGCUUCGUUAUAUACAACAAGAGAUCAUCUGCAAAAGCUGCACUCUUAUAUUCUUGCCUCUUAAUCUGAAGACCCGAUAUAUCCCUAUUAUUCCAGAUAUGUGUUAAGAGGACCUCCAUCACUAAAAGGAACAAGAGAGGUGAUAAAGGGCAUCCCUGUCUUGCACCAUUAUAUAUCUGGACCCUCCGUGAAAGAAUACCAUUUACUUUUAUUUUGGCAGACGGUUUAUCAUAUAGUGCCAAUAUUCUAUUUCUAAAUUGUUCUCUAAAUCCAAAAUUUAUCAAAGUUUUUUCUAGAAAUGUCCAUGAAAUUCUGUCAAACGCUUUUUCUGCGUCUGUCGUAAGCAAGCAUAAUGGAGUAUGUUUUUUUUGCAUAUUGAAUUACCGAUAUUGUUUUUGUUAUAUUGUCUUUUGCUUCCCUUUUAGGUACGAAUCCUGCUUGGUCGGAAUGUAUUAGAGAAGUGACCUCCGUGGCUCGAGCAAAUUAUCUAUACUACAGUUGGGGUCAUGCCACCCUGGAGCCAGAGAGCUGAAAAGACUCCACCACCAGCUAAGUAAAUAGAUUGCCCGUCUGCCUUACCGCUUUAUGGAGGACUGCAGGCAAGCUCCAACUUUCCCUAGGGGUGCUGUUCCCCCUACACAGAGGUCUGCACCAGCCUAGACAUACAGGGAAGCAGAACUAUUCUCAGGGCACGAACAGACUGGCUGAACGGGAAGGAAACCUCUAGAUAACAGUGCCUGCCUGUCUCCCCCCCCCCCCCCCCCACCAUGCAGUAUCUAGCCUUUCUGCCGCCUCACAGGGAAGGGAGCUACCACUUUCAGCACUUACUCUCUUUACAUAAGGUCCUAGCAGGAAAAAAAACAGGUACAGACAUCGCUCACCUAAUAACGUUACCACAGCGCAACCGACUUCAUUUGCGUCUAGGAGGAUGGUUGUCCCUCAUCCUAGUAAGCAGGACACUUAAAAACUGAGGGAUUAUUGGCAGUGUGGGGUUAAACCGGGGUCCCAGACACGCCCCCUCUUAUUUAGUUCUAAGUGUCCUGUCUCCUAGAGGGUGCAGUUUAACCCCAAUAGUUCCUGUGUCCCCCCUGAGACAACAGAGAAAUACACUCCCAUUAAGUAAUGUGAUGAAUGGGCAUGUUGUUCAUCAAAAUCUGGACACAGACUUUCAAAAUAAAAACCACCAGAAAGCUG